CUGGUUUCAGAUCGCGGUUCCCUC
rnacentral:siRNA from 1 species